AACGAACGCUGGCGGCAUGCCUAACACAUGCAAGUCGAACGAGACCUUCGGGUCUAGUGGCGCACGGGUGCGUAACGCGUGGGAAUCUGCCCUUGGGUUCGGGAUAACAGUUGGAAACGACUGCUAAUACCGGAUGAUGACUUCGGUCCAAAGAUUUAUCGCCCAGGGAUGAGCCCGCGUCGGAUUAGCUAGUUGGUGAGGUAAAAGCUCACCAAGGCGACGAUCCGUAGCUGGUCUGAGAGGAUGAUCAGCCACACUGGGACUGAGACACGGCCCAGACUCCGACGGGAGGCAGCAGUGGGGAAUAUUGGACAAUGGGCGAAAGCCUGAUCCAGCAAUGCCGCGUGAGUGAUGAAGGCCUUAGGGUUGUAAAGCUCUUUUACCCGGGAUGAUAAUGACAGUACCGGGAGAAUAAGCCCCGGCUAACUCCGUGCCAGCAGCCGCCGUAACAC
rnacentral:rRNA from 1 species